CAUUGAAAGCGUUUUUAAAAAGAAAAGCAACACGGCUGCAGCAGCGAAAGAACGCGAGUCGGCGUGGGAGAAGAUUAGUGCUCGAGUCAAUGCGUAAGUUUAAAUUUAUUAUAUACAUUUAUGCAAUCACAAUAAUAUUAGGCUACAGAUGCAAACAAGUAGAAUGGUGUUACAGCUACAAUUUAUGUCACUUAGAUGUAAUCCCACCGGCGAAAAAAGAACGUGGAAGCAGCUGAAGAUGAAAUAUAAAAACAUUGUUCAAACAGCCAACAGAAAGCGGGCAUCUGCCCGCAAAACUGGCGGAGGACCACCCCCACCACGUCUGACCGAGGCAGAGGAGCUGGCCAUGGGUCAGACUGUCGGGAGGCCAGUCGCAGAGGGGAUCCCUGGAGGAACCUCAUCCUCGGACAUGAUUACACAGGAGCCACCAGCCUUGAUAAGAUGCAAUAGGCCUAGGCCUCAAACUUCUUUUGGGCCUAUAGUUCAAUGUUAAUUUCCCUUUCAUGUGUUUUUCUUUUGUCUCAACAGAUUCUGAAGACGUACUUGGUCUAGUGGAUCCAUGUGCCACUUUAACUGAUGAUGAAGAUGAUGGGACCACAAUGUCUGCUGCCUUCUCUGUGGUGUCUGAGAGGGAGCCUGAGAGGCCUACAGAGCAGAGCAUGGCUGGGCAGCAGGAAGAGGGUCCCUCAACCUCCACAGCACAGAUUGACACACUACCACUAAAAGAAAUCUACAAAGUGCAUUUAUUAAAAACAGUACAAAAAACAGAAAAAGAAAUGGUGCUGCUGGACCGCUAGAUAACUAAAACGGAUCUGGAAAUUGAAUUAUUAAAACACAAGUUAGAGGUGGGUGCA